GAUGAACGCUGGCGGCGUGCCUAAUACAUGCAAGUCGAGCGAAUGGAUUAAGAGCUUGCUCUUAUGAAGUUAGCGACGGACGGGUGAGUAACACGUGGGUAACCUGCCCAUAAGACUGGGAUAACUCCGGGAAACCGGGGCUAAUACCGGAUAACAUUUUGAACCGCAUGGUUCGAAAUUGAAAGGCGGCUUCGGCUGUCACUUAUGGAUGGACCCGCGUCGCAUUAGCUAGUUGGUGAGGUAACGGCUCACCAAGGCAACGAUGCGUAGCCGACCUGAGAGGGUGAUCGGCGACACUGGGACUGAGACACGGCCCAGACUCCUACGGGAGGCAGCAGUAGGGAAUCUUCCGCAAUGGACGAAAGUCUGACGGAGCAACGCCGCGUGAGUGAUGAAGGCUUUCGGGUCGUAAAACUCUGUUGUUAGGGAAGAACAAGUGCUAGUUGAAUAAGCUGGCACCUUGACGGUACCUAACCAGAAAGCCACGGCUAACUACGUGCCAGCCGCCGCCGUAA
rnacentral:rRNA from 1 species